rnacentral:lncRNA from 1 species
AGAAACCGAUUUUAUGCAUUUAACGAUGAAUAAGGUAGAAUUUUAUAUCUCUUGUUCUCUAGAUUCAGCAAACAAAACAAAUAUCCAACAUUCAUUUUUUGGGAGAUUUAAGCAACAAACAGUUGAAAGCUUUUAGCUAGACCAAUCAAAAUAAAGUAUCAAUUAAAUCAGUAAAAGAAAAAGAAAAAGGACCUUUGUAUAGAUAGAUCUCAACUCGAAUUACAGCAGCUUGUCGAUUCUAAACGAAAUAUUUGCUGACAACUUCAACCGGAACCAACGAUUGGAACCUCGUACAACAUGAGAGACCAAAAUCGGGACUUUGCUGCAUUUUGGAACUUUUUUAGGGGGGGGGGGUUGUUUGAAUUGGAAUUUGAAGCUAUUUUAAAGGUAUUUUAAUUGGGGGGGGGGUAGUUUGAAUUGGAAUUUGAAGCUAUUUUAAAGGUAUUUUAAUGGAGGUUUUGUGAUAGUUUCAUGGCUGAAAUCUUUUUUGUCUUCCUCCGUGGAGAUGAAAGCUAAAACAAAGAAGAAGGCAGUCCCUCUUUUUUUGUCUCUG